rnacentral:pre_miRNA from 1 species
AGCUCCUGAGGACAGACAGGAGGUCAAAGGGCAGUAGGUAGGGGGAUAAAGCCAGUCCCACCCCACUUACCGGGGGCAGUGCU